AAAAGAAAAGAAAGAAAAAAUUUAAGGAUCCUGGGUGACAGAGGGUAAAACUUUUUUUUUUCUUCUCUCCUUAGGCAUGGAAACCUAAGGUCUGUACCCAAAACUACAGGACUAUUUGACAUCAUAAUAAAACACUGCAGAUAUGAUGCUGAGUAAGAGUAGAAAUGGGAAGACUUGGUUGUGCAGUAACUGAGUUCUUGAAAAGAGGAGAUGCUUGAUGAGGGUGAGUGGAUUACAUCACUGUUUAAUAUCCAAUGGAAACCAAAAGCAAAUGGCUAAGAGUGGAAUAUGUUUACACGAAUUGAGCAAAAUAUUGGGUAGCCAUAGUUUCUGGUGUCUUUGUUUCUUCAUGGCCUUCUUUUUGAAACGUGUAGUCAUGUAUGUGUACACAUUCAUACAAAAAGCUGAUAGUGUCUACUUUACUAAAGUAAUAUUCUUGAGGUCAAAUUUUAAGCUGGGUAGGCAGUCAGGACAAGAACCACAUGGCCUGGUGCCUAGAUUUGCUCUUCUCCAAGACCUUAAGGGUAAGCUUUUUUUCUCUUCUCUCCUUAGGCAUGGAUCACUAAGGUCUGUUCCCAAUACAAGAAGACUCUUUGACAUCAUAAUAAAAUACUGCAGAUACGAUGCUGAGUGAAAAAGAGUAGAAAUGGGAAGACUUGGUUGUGCAGAAACUGAGUUCUUAAAGAGAGGAGAUACUUUAUGAGGGUGAGUGGAUAACCUCUCAGUUUAAUAUCCAAUGGAAACCAAAAGCAAAUGGCUAAGAGUGGAAUAUGUUUACACAAAUUGAGCGAAAUGUUAGGUAGUCAUAGUUUCUGGUGUCUUUGUCUCUUCAUGGCCUUUUUAUUGAAACAUGUAGGGAUGUAUCUGUAAACAUUCAGACAAAAAGCUGAUAGUGUCUACUUUUCUUUCUUUCUUUCUUUCUUUUUUUUUUUUUUUGAGGCAGUGUCUCGCUCU
rnacentral:lncRNA from 1 species